rnacentral:rRNA from 1 species
UACGGAGGGGGCUAGCGUUGUUCGGAAUUACUGGGCGUAAAGCGCACGUAGGCGGCUUUGUAAGUUAGAGGUGAAAGCCCAGGGCUUAACCCUGGAAUUGCCUUUAAGACUGCAUCGCUAGAAUCGUGGAGAGGCGAGUGGAAUUCCGAGUGUAGAGGUGAAAUUCGUAGAUAUUCGGAAGAACACCAGUGGCGAAGGCGACUCACUGGAUACGUAUUGACGCUGAGGUGCGAAAGCGUGGGGAGCAAACAGG